AUGAGGACAUCUAUUGUAAAAUCAUUGGAGCAGCUAUUUUUAUUAGGUGCCUUAACAGAUGAAUGUCAACUCUGUGAUCCAGUUGGAUGGAAAAUGGCUCGACUGCCCUUGGAUCCUAUUUAUUCCAAAACUCUUAUUUUAGCUAGUGAGUAUAACUGCUUGGAAGAGAUGUUGAUAACUGUUGCAAUGCUUUCUGUGGAAUCAAUAUUUUAUACUUCGCGUGACAAGUAUGAAGAGGCAGAUAAAAGGACAUGCUCAACAAAUGGGUUUGAAACUUGCUUCUUAUGGAGAUGA